rnacentral:lncRNA from 1 species
UGAACACCGGGAAGGAACUGGCACUUGGAGUCCGGACAUCUGAAACUUGGACUGUGAAUGCAGCCCAUGAAAAAGAGGGUUUUCGGAAGCUUGACAUUUAUGAGGGUGAGGAGUUGACAAGCCGACAUCAGUCUCCAGAGUGAAUCCAAGGAGUGGACCCAAGACAUUUGUGUUCUGUGAUGUGGUGGCAUGUUACCUGUCAUCUCUGAUGCAUAACUCCUAAAGUGUUUGCGUCUGGGGCAGUUGUACAGAUUGCAAAGGAUAAUACUCAAGAUGUCCUCCAAGGCCAACUACUCAUCAGUUUAUUCAUGUUUCUGGGACUGGAUUCAUGAAUUCAUCCUUUCAACUAUUUCAACAAGCUUUUUCAUGUAACUAAUCUGUGGAAGGUAGAAAGGGGAAAACUGUUGGGUGCUAAAAUGACAACUGGUUCAAGACCCAAGUAGGUGCUCACAGUCAGUCCUGCAGGAAGAGAUUAGAGGAUCUAGUUACCCAGGGAUCAUCUCCAUUCCUUCCAACUGAAAGGGAAACAAACAAGGAGGAGCACGCCUGGGGAGGUUUUCACAGGCCAGGACUGGAAAUGCACAUUUCUCUUUUGCUCACAUUCCAAACUCCCAAGAUGGUCGUGGGCCACUUCCAAGAUGGUGGCAAGAGUCGUAUUCUCUGACCUGGGGUUCUUGGUCUCAUGGAUUCCAAGGAAUGGAAUCUUGCGCCAUGUGGAGGAGCGUCAGAUAAUUAGGCAGCAGUCCAACAAUUAGGUUUUGUGGAACUUUUACUAUGUCAUCUAUUUAUUGGAAUUCCCUCUGGAUACCAGGACCCCCUCCAGCAGAGCUUAAAGUUAUAGUUACAGGAAGUACAAAUUCCGUAUGUGGAUCCCUGGAAGUGUGAUGAGAAGAACCACUGUUUCCAAGAUCUAUUUAUUCUAUUUAUCAGGCCUAUAAAAUCAUGUAAUGGCCAUGGCUUCAACUAGACU